rnacentral:rRNA from 1 species
CAGCGCCACGAGUGGCAAUCGCGUUUACUUGGCCUAAAGCGUCCGUAGCCGGUUUGAUAAAUUUCUUGUGAAAUUGUUAAGCUCAACUUAACACCGUGCAGGAAACACUAUCAAACUUGGGACCGGGAGGAGUCAGAGGAAUUCCUUGGGGAGCAGUAAAAUGCUAUAAUCCUUGGAGGACCACCUAUGGCGAAGGCGUCUGACCAGAACGGAUCCGACGGUGAGGGACGAAAGCUAGGGGAGCGAACCGGAUUAGAUACCCGAGUAGUCC